UACGAAGGGAGCUAGCGUUGUUCGGAAUCACUGGGCGUAAAGCGCACGUAGGCGGAUUUGUCAGUCAGGGGUGAAAUCCCGGGGCUCAACCUCGGAACUGCCUUUGAUACAGCAAGUCUUGAGUUCGAGAGAGGUGGGUGGAAUUCCUAGUGUAGAGGUGAAAUUCGUAGAUAUUCGCAAGAACACCAGUGGCGAAGGCGGCUCACUGGCCCGAUACUGACGCUGAGGCACGAAAGCGUGGGGAGCAAACAGG
rnacentral:rRNA from 1 species